CAGGAAAUCCAGGGUGUCUCCUGUGUAGGCUGAGUGUGGUGUCCUGUGGAUGUACCAUCAUUGCUUUGGGCAUGGUGGUGGGUCUGGUUGGCCACCAGUGCAGCUGAACGUGAGUCCCACCUCAACAGUUGCAAAUGUGCUUCUAGCUGGAGCUGACCUGGAGUAGGAGCCACCUUGAGGGGAUGCAAGUCAUGGCUGAGUCCACCCACUGUGUGUGGAAGGGAAGGAGGCUCUUGUGGAGGACUCCAGGCUCUUGGGGGGAAGCCAUUUUAGAGGAGCGUUGUGGGCAUGACUGGGUUGGAUUUGUGUGUUCCACAGGGAACUCAGAGACAUAGCAAGGCAAGCAGUGCUAGGAAGGUAAGUGUGCAAUGUCAGAAAUGUCUCCCACCAGCACUGGGCCAGCUGGCUACAGGGAGGAUUUUUCUAAAUGUCAUCAAUAUUGAUUUCAUCCCUAGAGGAAGUUGCAACAAAUCCUUGCCCCUUUGGCACUUGUCCUAAAAUUAGUCCAUAAUUCUCCUUCCCAUAUGACCCAUGCACUUUUCAAGCUGCUGCCUCUGAGCUGACAUUCAGCAUCAGUACUUUGGAACAAGCCUACUAUGCGAUAGGGCCCACAUGGGAUCUCAUUGAUAAGAUGGCUGUUGACCUCACAAGGAAUAAAUCACAGUGAUCUGUGAGAUUGAUCAAAUUGCCCAAAUGGCAUCCUGUUGUCUCACCGGUGCCUAUCUUCUCAAAGCUGGGAGACCACCAGAUUCCAGACCUCUGGCUACGUGAUAAUCGCAUCAGAGAAUUUUCCAUUGGUGGGGUAUAAGAAGGACUCUGUUAGAAAGGGGGAAUGCUGGUUCUCCUUAAGAGCCAGUCACCCUCCUUUUCCCUCUAAUAAAUUUCCUUUUCUUGCCUGACUGCCCAGCUUACUCUCUUUUUCUCUGCACUCACCUUACAUUCUGGUGCCGAAACCUGGGAAGGAAAAUCCAUGGCCACUGGGUGGGCUCCUCUCAAGAGCCCACCUCCGGUGGUCCCCUCCCUUGGACCUUUCCGAGAAACCAAGACCAUCUCUGGGACAGGAUUCUUCACUUGCCUUGCUGGACUGACAUCCACAGACCGGCCCACUUUUCAUCCAUCGGUUACAAGGGUCUCCACAUCGGAGAGGAGUCCCUGGCCAGAUAACUUGUUGCGAAGAUGUUCUGCUGCUGCCCGUGCCCAGAGGCCGGGGCCUUGGGAGGGCUCACAGGCAGAGUGUGUGGGAUCGCUGGCGACGCUGGCUCAGGGCCCCCCGAGGAGGCCUCUGGCCCUUUGCCCGAAGGAACAGGAAGAGUUUCCCACCGGAUGUGGCCGACGAGGGGGACACGCCGUCCACCUCCCCGAGGGAGGGGUCGGAGCCCCAUCCCCCUGCCUGUGAGGCCCAGUGCAGGG